UGGGGAAUAUUGCACAAUGGGGGGAAACCCUGAUGCAGCAACGCCGCGUGAGUGAUGACGGCCUGGUUGUAAGCUCUGUCUUCAGGGACGAUAAUGACGGUACCUGAGGAGGAAGCCACGGCUAACUACGUGCC
rnacentral:rRNA from 1 species